UAGCUCCUCGUGAUGCUCUUUUAGAGCUCAAAAUAUCUCUGAACUUUAGACAUAAUAAGGCAGAGUAGAAAUGUUUGAUGAAUCUUAUCUCCAAGAUUUGUCUUGAAUUACAAUUAAGACAUUCACUCCAGUGGAAAUACACCAUCCAAUUAGGCAGGUCUGGUGAAUCGUUUGUUUAAAAUAUAAGCAAAUGAGAUAAAGAAUUUUCAGAUUUCUCCAGACUGUGCUCUAAUGAAAAUGUCACCUGGGUGAAGUUUUAGAUCAAUUACUAAAUUUGGGUGACAGAUGAAAACGUAUUUUCAUUUCACUUUAAUUGGGUUCUUCUGUGGAGUUAAAUAGGUUUUCUUUCUCAAAAAGGAAAAUACGAAUGUCAUCAAAGUUGAAAGAAUACAUUUCAACCAUAAGUGAUAUAAAUACUUGUAUUCUUUACCACAUUUUUCUAUCAACUCUAAAAGUCACACCACUGUGACCUUUAUCAUGUUUACAAUUGCAACUCAACUUACGACAAAUUAUCUCAGGAAAUAAACUGAGUUAUCUUUUCUGGCAUUAUAAUUAUCUUCAGCAAGGUCUGAGGUAGCCAGAGCUGAUACUAGCCAAGUGAUUUAUUUUCAAGGACUGCAACUAAGUUCUUUAGGUCCUGUUUUACUGAAAAAAAUCAUUAGACUAGGGCAUCAGUAACUUGUUAAUUAUUAAUAAUGGACUUUCAAUGACUUUUGUGGAAGAAGUUGGUCUCGGCCAUAGACUGGUGGACCUAAUUCACACUACAAAAGCCAAUGUUACAAUGAACCAAGAUUAAUGACACUCCUAAUGGGGAGGGGCCUGGAAGUGUGUUCUUCAGGACAGACCAGAUGGUGCCAUCUAACACAGCCCCUUCAUAUAGCAAUGGAAACGUGGGGAAGACAGCGGAGAAAGUUUAUUGCUCCCUACUCCUCCAGCUUGUCCAAUUUAAUGAGUAGAGGAAUAGAGAACAAACAUGACAGUUUUUUUCAAUUUCAUAGAAAAGAAUGGUUUGUCCAUUAAUUUUUUCAUUCAAUGACUAUUUAUUGAGCACUUACUCUUUCUAGGGCACUGUGCUAGGCACUGGAGUGUAUAAGAAAAAUAUCAGAGAUAAAUUAUAUUCUCAGUGCUAUUCUGACACAAUGCGUGACCUUGGAAAAUUUACUAAACAUACUAUGCUUGUUUUCCCAUAUGUAAAAAAGGGAUUUCAAAGCAAACAACCCAAUACCUUACAGAUAUACUGUGGGUACUGACAAAAUAUCUAAUAUGGAUAUGACAUCAAAAUAAAGUUCUGAAAUAAUACUUUUGGACGUGGCACUAAUUUUCCCUUUGAGUGCUUUUCUAUAUUAUACUCUUGUUUCUUUCACUCUCAUUAUAAAAACUAUUUGAUAAAAAGUAAAAUAUGACAAUUUAUUGUAAUAAAUUAGAUAAUCCAAUUAUGAUGUAAACAACAUUAAUAAUAAUUGUUAAAGUUUAUCUGCUUAAAGUUACAGUGAUGAUAGCCCUUGAAAAAUAUUGACUAAAUGCUCAUCUAUUUGUAUAGUUCCAACAAAUAAAGUAUUUCUAGUCCUUUCAAGUUGACGCUUUACAUUUUAAAAGGAAAAGAUAAAUGGUUGGUUAAAAGUCUUUGUCUUUAAUAGUUCGUGCAUAAUUCACAUCAUAUUGGUCACGAAUAGGUAGGCGUUUAAUAAUUGUUUUUAGUUCUCCAUUUUGUCCCAUUGGUAUGAGCUACCCACCCCAACCCUCUACUCCCGCCCGCACUUCAACUCCUUUUAAUAGAUGGUCUAGAGAAGAUAAAUAACUUGAUUUAGGGUUUUUGAUUUAUGUUUACUUUUCAUAAAACCUGAUAAAUCAUCAUUUAAUCAGAGCAAAUCUUUUUUGGAAUAAUUCCCUAAAAAGCACCUGUAUAGUGAUUCAUUCCAGUAUAUCCCUGUCAAAACUCCUCCCAGAAAUAUUUUGGAAACUGAAACCGUAUAUCUGGGGAUUCAGAUUAUUUCCUUGAGUUAUUUUACUUGGAAAAAGCAAGGAGAAUAAUGACUAUCAUUGCUGAUAGAAAACUCAGGAGCCAUCUGGCCCAGCUUGCACGUGCAGAAAAUGAACCUAACCCCUAGAGAAAAGCAUAAGUUUGACCAAAGUCACUAAUUGUGUCAAAGCCAUGCCUAAAACCUUGGCCAGCUGGCUCCCAAAUGCCUUUAGCAACAACUUCAGAGUGUUGUUAUAGACCUUGGCUAAUUUACCCAGCAUCUCAAAACCCAUUUUUUGAAUUACAAUCACUGUGGAAAGACUCACUUUUUUCUACAUGAGAGAUGAAAAGGACCUUAAGAGUGAGUCUCAGGGCUGGCCUGGUGGUGUAGUGGUUAAGCUUUUGUGCUCCACUUGGGUGGCCGCCCGGGGUUCGCCAGUUUGGGUCCUCGGGGAGCACCUGCACACCACUCAUCAAGCCAUGCUGAGGCAGCGUCCCACAUAGAAGAACUAGAAGGACUUACAACUAGGAUGUACAGCUAUGUACUGGGGCUUUCGGGAGGGGAAAAAGAGAGAAAGAUUGGCAACAGAUGUUAGGGCCAAUUUUCCUCACCAAAAAUGCAUAUCUUAAAAAAAAAAAGUGAGUCUCAUUCAUUUGCUUUAGAUAUAAAGAAAAUGAAUCUCUGAGAGGUUAGGUGACAAGCCCAGGGUCACAGUGCAAGUUAGUAGCAGAACUAGACUGAGAACUCAAAUCUUCUGUUUUCUAGUCCAGGGCAUCUUCCCCACCCUGUGUGACUCCGUAUGAUGUCUCCACCAUCAUAAGUUCCCUCUGUCACGUGCAAAUUCUGUAAGACAUGGAAACCCAGCACGACUUUCCAGGAACUGGCCUCCUGACGACACUCUUUGCUCUACGUCUUUUGGACCUCUACUACUGUUGUCCUGUACAUUUUCCCCUCGUUAAUCAUAUAUUGUGCAUAAAACAUUUAGAUAUUCCUGUAGAUGAUUUUCUUUGUGUAUAAAAAAUAAAUAGCUGUAUUUUUGUACACUACUUAACUUAAAAAAUGUUAUGUCACUGACACACACCAAAUAUUUGCCCCAAAUAAAAAGAAAACAAAAAACAACUCUCUCUAAAUUAAUCACCAUUUGUCCAAAGAUGUGAGUUAACAAAAUAAGUAAGAAAGACAAUUGUUUACAAAAACACAUUUAAACUCUAAAGGAAUGCUUAGAAUACAUGAUGAUGUAAAUUAGUGCAUAUUAAUAUGUGAGUCAUACAAAUUCCAGUAAGAAGCACGUGUUAGCAAAGUGGGAAUAGCAAAGAAGGAAAUUCUUGGCCUUACACAGCCAUGUUUACCUCCUGACCACGUACCUUCUGCAAGAUCAUCGGUUCCCAUGUCUAUGAUUUGUGUUGAACUUUUAGCUAGAACUAACUGCUUGCAUCAAGUCAUUAGUGCUAUUCUGCUUUUUCCCCCACCACAUCCAAAGUUCUCGUAAAUAAUUUAAUUGUAGGCCAGGAGUAUCUUCUAUGCUUCUGGGUAGAGUUGCCAGGCCAGAUGCGUUCUCAGAACAAAUUCAGAGAGCCCAGUGGAGUAGGGCCCCUCAAACUCAAGGUCAGACUCUAAUUCUAGGAGUAACUUUGGUCAUUUAUCUCUGUCCCUCAGUUCUUCAUCUCUAAAUGAAAAUAAAAGUUCCUAUGGCACAAAGACGUUCAUCUUUGGUGAGGAAAGUUAUGGGAAAGUACAUUGUAAAGUGAUGUUAUUGUUAAGACCUUUCAAAUUCCCUUCUGAUUUUGUUAUGAAAUGGUCCAGCCAUGCCCUGCACUGAAGACCUAGUGCCUAGUGUUGCUAAGAGGCAUGAGCCAAAGCAGCAAAUGGAAACCAGAACCAUAUGAACCAAACAAAAAAUGGCAACAUUGCCAUUGGCAAAAACAAUCUUGUGUUAAAAAAAAUCCACUGCUUUGUGUCAUUUUCAUGGACUUCCUAUAAAUCAGUGACAGCAGAAUAUUUUUCAAACCACUGAAUCAGAACACACAGAGAUUAUAAGAAGCCUGUGGAAAAGUAAUACUCUGAAUGGAAAGCUGAGCUGGAUUACCAACUGACUCAUGUACCUCAAGACACUGCCGUAGAACUGAACACCCAUUAGAAGAUCUGAAGGUAUUUUAGCAAUGUAAGUUAGUGAAGAUAAAGUCAAAAUAAAUACCAACAGUAGCAUCUCAAAACAUAUAGCAUAUGUCUUUGCUUAGGGAAAAAGCAUCUCUCUCUUCUUCUCUCUUGUUCAGAACUCAAUGAUAAAUCAUUUGUACACUUCUGUAUAUUUGAUGCCAUCAUGGACAGAGUCGGGAUGAUCUGAAUGGAAGGUGCAUUCUUUCCAAAGAAGGCAAUAUUUUAUAGAAAAGACAACUGAAUUUCAGUGAUUUGGAAGAACAAUGCAUCAAAUUAUUUUUAUCUUUGAAACAUUUAUGUGUAAAAAAUAUUUUAAAAAUUGGGUCCACUUAUAAAAUAAAUAAGUCAUGGGGAUGUAAUGUAAGGCAUGGUGACUAUAGUUAGUAAUACCGUAUUGCAUAUUUGAAAGCUGCUAAGAGAGUAGAUCUUUAAAGUUUUCAUCACAAGAAAAAAUAUUUUGUUAACUAUGUAUGGUGAUGGAUGUUAGCUAAACUUACUGUGGUGAUCAUUUUGCAACAUAUGCAAUUUCAAAUCACUAUUCUGUACACCUGAAACUAAUAUAAUCUUACAUGUCAAUUACACAUCAAUAAAAAAGUAGAAAGAAAAUCAAAAGUUAUAGAAAAUCUGGACAACACUAUCCCGUAACUUGAUCUAAUUGAUUUGUAAAGAAUACUAUACUCAAAAGCAGUGGAAUACACAUUUUUUCCAAGUGCUCAGGAAACAUUCACUAAGAUAGAUUAUGUAAGAGGCCAUAAAACAAGUCUCAACAACUUAUAAAAAUUGAAACUAUAAUAUAGAGUAUAUUCACUGAAAACAACAGAAUUACAUGAGAAAUCAGUAAGAGAACAUAUCUGGAAAAUAACAAAUUUAUGGAAAUUACACAACACACUUCCAAAUAAUUCAUGGAGAAAGAAGAAUUCACAAAGGAAAAUAGGAAAUAUUUUGCAUUGAAUGAUAAAGAAAACACAGCAUACACAAAACUGUAGGACGCAGUGAAAGUAGAGAUUAGGGGAAAUUCAUGGCUUUAGGUGGUAUAUGAGAAAAUAAGCUUUAGACACCAAUGAGUUUUCUACUAAAUAUGUAAAGAAGAAAUAAUUGCAGUUCUACACAACUUCUUUCAGAUUAAAAGGGAGGGAAUACUUCCCAAUUCAUUCUAUUAAAAAAAUGGGAAUCUAUGAACCUUGUUCAAAGUCAAGAGGUAUCAAAGAUAUACAUGGAAAGUAUCGUCUCACCCCAUCCUUGUGGCCUCAGUUUCCCAUCCACUCCUCUACUCCCCACUAAUCACCUUUAUGGAUUCUAAUAUAUCCAUCCUCUGCAAAUACAAAUGAAAACAAAUAUAUAUUCUCAUUUUGUUACUUUUCUUACACAAACAUUACAUACACAAACAUCAUUCUGUACCUUCCUUUCUUGACUUAAAAAUGCAUCCUGGAUUACUGGUUUAUAUGAAUACAUACAGAGCUUUCCUAUGAAUAUAGACAGACAACAAAACAAAUAGACAGAUAGACAGAUCAAUCUCAUGAACACCUGUCAAGUGUAGAGCUACAUGCAUCUAUGAAAUCACCACCUAGGUCAAGAUAUAGAACGUUAACAGCAUCCCAGAAGCCUCAUUCAUGUCUCACUCAGUCAAUACUCCCUGGAUCACCACUAUUCUGACUUCUACCACCAAAGAAUUAUUUCGAUAGUUUUGUCCUUCAUAUGAAUGAAGUCGUAAAUUACAUAUUUUUGUGUCCAGUUUCUAUUAUGUCUAAUUAACAUUACACAGGUGAAACUCAUUCACUUUGUUGCAUGUAGAAGUAGUUUAUCCUUUUUCAUUGUCUUACAGAUUUAUGUAUGCAUAUACCAAAGAAUUUAUACAUUCUAUUGUGGGUGGGAAUUUGGGCUAUCUCCAGUUUCUGUCUAUAAAAAUAGCACUGCAAUAGAAAUUCUAGUUAGUUUCUUAUAGUGCAUACAUGUAUGCGUGGGUGGUGGGAUCUCUAUAUCUUAGAGGUGAAUUGGUGGCUUAUAGAGUAUGCAAUUGUUCAUUUUUACUAGGUAAUUCCAAAUAACUUUCUAACUGGUUGUAGCAAUGUGCACUCCAACAAUAGAGAACAAAAUUUCCAGCUGCUCCAAACAUUUGCUAAUACUAUUGUCAAUUUUGUUAAUUUUAAUUUCUAGUCUAUGUAGUCGCACAUCAUUAUUCUUAUAAAUUGGAUUUCUGUGAUGACUAAUGAUUUUGAGAACUUUUAAUAUAUUUAUUGAUUAUUUGGACAUCCUGUUCUAUGUAAAGCCAGCUUAAGCUUUGUGGACUUCUGUUAGAUUUUUGUCUUUUUAAAAAAAUAUAGGAAUAUUUUAUAUAGUUUGAUUACAAAUCCUUAAUUCUAUAUAUGUAUUACAAAUGUGUUUUACCACUCUGUGGCUUUCAAUUUUACUCCCUUAAUUGUAUCUCUAUCAAAAAUUUAAAUUUUAAAACAGUCCAAUUUAUUAAUGUUUUUCUUUAUUGAUAAUGCUUAUUAUGUUCAAUUUAAGGAAUUUUUACUUAUGCUAAGACUGUGAAAAUAUUCUCCUAUGAGAAUUUAUAGAUUCUUUAUGUUACCUUUCACUUUAGCUUUAUAAUCCAAAUAGGAUUCAUUUUUUGUGUAUGAUGUGAGGUAGAAGUUGAAGAUUAGUUUUUGCUAUAUGAAUGUAUACAUAAUCUUGAGCCAUCUAUUGGAUAAAACAUCCUUUCUCUACUGCAUUACAGGGAUGUUUUCAUUGUAAAGGAGAGAACUGUAUAUAUGUGGUUCUUUUUUGUGAAUUACUUAUUCAGUCCCAUUGGUCUAUUUGCCUAUCUGUGUGCCAAUACCACCUGGUUUAAUUUUAGUAGCAUUAUAACAAGUGUUGAUAUACUAUAGUGACACGUCCCAAUUUGUCUUCUUCUUCAUAAUGAUUUUCAAUAUCCUUCACUUUAAGAAAUUUUCUCUAUUGGAUACUAUUUUCUAUUUUGUUGUUAUCUUUUUCCAGCUCAAUGGAGGUAUAAUUGACAAAAUUGUAAUAUAUUUAAAGUGUACAAUGCGAUGAUUUUAUAUAUGUAAGUAUUGUGAAAGGAUCCUCACCAUCAAGUUUAUAAUUAACACAUCCAUCACCUCAUAUAUUUACCUUCUUUUUCUUUUCUUCUUCUUCUUUUUUUUUUUGGUGGGAACACAAGUUCUACUCUGUUGGCAGAAUUUUGAUUAUAUGAUACAGUAUUAUCAACCAUAGUCACCAUGCUAUCAUUAGAUCCUUAGACCUUAUUCAUCUCACAACUGAAAGUUUGUAAGUUUUCCCUAUUUCCUGUUUCCAGGAAAGGUACAAAGCAGAGGUGGAUGUGGCACUCUCCCCUGUGUAUUUUUCCUUUUUCUCUAGAAUUUUGGGCUCUUGAUCUCUACCUGCUGUGCUUGCUUUUUUAUUUCUUUAAUUUGUUUAUUCAACUAGUUUUUAUGGUUGCUCUCAGCAAGAGAAUUAGUUUGAUAAAAUUACUGCAGCGUGGUGGUUGAAAGCAAAAUUUCUCCAUAUAUUUUCUUUACAACUGUAUAGUAUUUCAAGGGGUGGAUGUGCCAUCACUUAUUGAGUAGUCUCCUAUUAUAUGGUCACUUAGGUCAUUUCCAAUCGUUUGCUAUUAUUCAUAAUGUUGCAGUAAGUAACGUUGGACACAUUAUAUUACAUAUACACAUAUAUAUCUGUAUGUACGUACACAUGCAUAGGGUAAAUUCCUUGCAGAGGGAUUUCCAAUUCAAAAAUAUACGCAUUUGUAGUUUUGAAAGGGGGUGAUUGUUUCCAGAUAACCUUGUCCUGAGUUAUUGCUCCCUCUGAGGGCUCAGAGUUGUUCACAGCAGUUAACAUUCAGGAUGAGGCUUUCUCCUUAAGGAAAUGAAUGUUUGCUGUUUGUUUUUGAGACCUGCCCAUGCUAGACUUCUCCACACUCUGUGAUUCUGAGCACUGCUUGCAACUGGUCAUAUGGCUUUUGUUGGGAUCACUUGUUUUGACUGCACUUAAACAUAGUUGUGAGUUUUCAUGGGUUUUAUUGUUUCCAAGUUUUACUAGAUAUACAUGAUUUUGGAUCUUUUUAUUUGUUCGUUUGUUUUGUUCUCUUUGUUGUUCCACGUAAUUUCCAGGAAGUGUCAAGAUUUGGAAUUCAACAGCUGCCAUGUUUCUAUUAGAACCAAAAUAAUUUUCAUUUAAAAUAAUAAAAUUAAAGAUUUUUAAAACUAGAAAAUAGAGUUAAAUUGACAGUUCUAAAUGGUAGUACUGCAUUGCUAAUCGUCUAGUGGUAAGUUUUAGGGUGACUGAAAUACAAUAUAUUGCACACAUUUGAAUAAUUAACAGUUAUUUGUCUCUUUUCAAAUAAUAUUUCAAUGUGGAUGAGGAAAUUAACCAUGCUCCUUUCAGGGAUGGGAAAGAAAUUUCAAUUUGUAGCUCUUGCUUACAGAAGUGUGAGAAUAUUAGGCAAAGAUUUUCUAAUUGAUCAUUUUGAAUAACAAAAAUCUGAUGCCUACAUUUCAGAUCUCUGGAAAUAAUGCCAACGUUUAAUCUCAUUAUGAGCCAUAUAAAGAAUAUUUUUAAAAAAUCAGAAGGGCAUGAUUCACAUCAUUAACACCCAUAGCUUUACAACUGUGCCUUUGAUGUGAAAUGGUCUCUGGUCCUUCAUAGUUCAAAAGAAUCCUCGCCUAAAAUCUAUGAAAAAUCACCUCACAUUUCACUUUAUUCAGUUCUGUUGGAGCUUAUAACCCUCUGUCUAGUGGGGUGGGAAAUUAUCACACGCACUUCUAAAGUGACUUGAGCUGGACUGCUUAGCUCUGCUAAAAGCUGUUUAAAAUAAAAAAUCUUAAAAGGACUUCACUUUUUUAUUGAUUUCCAUUCUACUGAAAUUUGCUACUGUUAAAUCCAGUUACAGAAUACUUAUCUUCACCAUUAAUUACAAACUUUUAGGUGAUUGAUUAGGAAUUGGUGAAUAUUGUUAGACUUAUUGGUUACUUUCUUUCACUUUUUACUAUAACAUGAUGCUAAAACCAAAGAAAAAUAAAGGAUAUUUAGUGGGAUGAUUAAUUAGAGCACAUUCUGAGGAACAAUAUAGAAAUUGUGCUGUACAUUUUGUGUAAAGUGGCAAAAAAAUAGCACAUUUUACAUGAAAUGGAAUAUCUACUGCGGAAAAGGAGACCACAACACAGUUUUAUUUUCUGUAAUUUAAUUUCAGUGGUACCAUCUUGAGUCAAGAAAUGGGCAGUCUUUUGAAAUAGAGAAAAUAAUUUUGAAACAGACUGAAAAAUUUUUAUUCAUUGGUUAUGAGCCAAAUUUCUAGUUAUGUAAAGAUAUUUUAGAGUACUUAAUAGAAUAACACUCUAUCCAGAUAAGAAUAAAGAUGUCAGAAUCUUUCUGCAGUAGAUUAACUACUAGACUAUAUUAGUAAUCAAGCUAAUAAUCAAAAAGAUCAAGCUACUAGCUGAUUGUUAAUGAGAAGGUGGUUUCUUUUAUAUAUGGAACAUCAAUUUGAUGAUGACUGGAAUAAGUAACUUUGGUUUUCUCUCAGAAAUAAUUGGUUACGCCAUAUUUUUAAAAAUUUAAUGUUUAAGAAAUUUUGUCUAUUUUAUAUUUCCUGUGUAUAAAAUAAUAUUUAUUUGAAAAAUACAUAGGAAAGUUGUUAUUAACGGGUUUCAGUGCCUAAAGAAAAGCCUAUGUCUGUAACAUACUGUGAUCAUAGAAUUUUGAACUUGAAGAGAUAGUCCUAUAAUUUGACAAAUAGGAUAACUGAAACUCGGAGCAGUUUAUUGACUUGCCCAAGAUCAUAAACUUGUUAAAAGCAGAAGUGAAAUGUGAUGUGAUUUUUGGAUAGUAUAUUCAGUUAGAAAAAUGAAUAUCAGGUAUUCUAUCUAAUUUUACUUUCCAUGACAAUAUUGAUUUAAUAACAUGAGUAUGAUUAAAGAACGUUUGCUAUGUUUUAUGAAAUUUGUUCUUUAAACCAUAUAUUUAUGCAGUGUUUAAGAUGUCCACUGCUUCUUAAAAUUUCUUCAGUUUCUUCUGUUAAAUUUUCUGUUCACUUCUAUUAAACAAUUUAAAUGAUGUGUUCUUCAUUUUAAUCUUUGAAAAAUAAUGCCUUGCUUUUCUAUUGGCCUCAAAUUGUACAUUUUUCUUAAAUAAGCCUUCACAUAGGAGACCUCAAUGAAACACUGUUUUGCAGUAGACAGAUUAUGAGGACAGAAGCCAUGCUAUCUAAUAAUCCACUUGGGAUGAAACUUCAAGUCCCGCUGAAACUCAUUCAAAAAUCAGGAAAGGUUCUCUCAACAUUUGGAAGAUAAGUGCUGUCUUAAAUUGAUAUUUUCAUAUUGAUUUUACUGUGCAAUAAAAGAUUUUUUGUGUGAUUUGGAUCAAAGAAAUGGUUAAACUUUACAUGUUAGCAAUGUUUCUUUGUCCUUUACAAUCUGCAGAGGAAGGUAUUUAGCUUUUUGGGUCAGGGCUCUGACUCAAACUUAAUGAUCUGGGAAAUUAAUAUGUCAAUGUUUUUACUUUAAAAAAUUUUUUUUGCCAUUCUAAUAGGUAUGUAGUUUUAUCUCAUGAUUUUAAUCUGAAUUUCUUUAAUAAUUAAUGACAUUGAAUAUCUUUUCAUAUGUUUCAUAUGUUUAUUUGCCAUUGAUAUAUCUUUUUUGAUUAAGUAUCAAUUCAAAUACAUUGUACUUUGUUUUCUUUUCUUUGGUGAGGAAGAUUGUCCCUGAGUUAACAUCUGUUGCCAAUCUUCCACUUUUUGCUUGAGGAAUAUUUUCCCUGAGCCAACAUCUGCGCCAAUCUUCUAUUUUAUUUGUGGGAUGGCACCACAGCAUGGCUCGAUGAGCAGUGUGUAGGUCUGUGCCUGGAUCCAAACUCGCGAACCCUGGGGCCACUGAAGCAGAGCAUGUGAACUUAACCACUACGCCACUGGGCUGGCCCCUACAUUGUACUUUUUAAAAUUGGGUUGUUUCCUUAGUAUUGAUUUCUGAGUGUUCUGUAUACAUUCUGGAGGCAAGUCCUUUACCAGAAAAGUGUUUUUCAAAUAUUUCCCCUUUGUGUGUCAUGUCUUUUCAUUCUUUUGGCAGUGCCUUUCAAAGAGCAGAUAUUCGAUUUAUCAUUAUUUUCUUUUAUUGAUUGUGCAUUUGGUUACAUCUAAAAAAAGCUUAGCCUUAUCCAAGGUCAUAAAGAAGAUAUUCCACUAUGUUUUCUUCUGCAAGUUUUACAGUUUUGAGUUUUAUGUUUAGGUCUCUGAUCCAUUUGGAAGGAAUUUUUGUAUGUGGCACAAGGCAUGAGUCAGAGUUCAUUUUUUUAAUAUGAAUGUGAAUUAGUCUAUCAUUUGGUGAAACACUAUCUUUUCCUCAUAGAAUUGGUUUUGUAACUUUUUCCAAAAUCAAUUGAUCAUAUAUGUGUGGAUCUAUUAAUGGAAUGCUUUCUCUCUUCUGUUGAUAUCCAUAUAUCUACCAUUAAACUAAUACUACACUAAAUUUGAUUGAUUAAUAUUUGGUUAAAAAUUUGCCUCUGGGUUAACGAGAGAUUACCGAUCUUCAGUAUUUUUUUUUUCCUGUAAUGUCCUUGCUUGAUUUUGGCAUUGAAGUCAUGCUGGCUUUAAAAAAUGAGUAGAAGAGUGAAUCCUUCUCUUCUGUUUUCUUGAAGGAUUUGUGCAGAAUUGGCAUUAUUUCUUUCUUAAAUGUCUCAUAGAAUUCACUAGUGAAGUUAUCUGGGCUGUGAGUUUUGAUCUUGUUGAAAGGAUUUUAACUAAAAAUUCUAUGUUUCAGAUAGAUACAGGAUUGUUCAGGUUAUCAAUUUCUUCUUGUAUGAGUUUUGGUAGUUUCCAUCUUUCUAGGAAUUUGUCCAUUGUAACUAAGUUGUUGAAUUUAUGGACAUAAUGUUGUAAUAUUAUUCCUUCAUUGUUCUUUUAAUGAUGGUACAAUUAAUGGUGAUGAUUUAUUUUUCAUUCCUAAUAUUGGUAAAUUUUAUUCUCUCUCUCAUCAAUCUGGCUAGGAGUUAAUCAAUUUUUUGAUGUUUCAAAAACAGCUUUUGAUUUCAUUAAUUUUCUAUACUGUUUUUCUAUUUUCACUUAUAUCGAUUUCCACUAUAACCUUUAUAAUUUCCUUCCUUCUGCUUACUUUUUGUUUAACUUAUUCUUUUUUUCUUGUUUAUUAAUUUGGAAGCUUAAGCCACUGAUGUAAGACCUUUCUUCUUUUCUAAUAUAAGAAUUUAAUGCUAUAAAUCCACAACUAAACAUUGCCUCAGAUGUAUCCCACAAAUCUUGAUGUGUGUUUUCAUUUUCAUUCAACCCAAAAUAUUUUCUACUUUUCUUUUGAUUUAUUCUUGGGCUCAUGGACUGUUUAGAAAGUUAAUUUCCAAAUAUAUGGGAAUUUUCAUGUAUCUUUCUGUUAUGUAUUUCUAUAUUAAUUCUGUAAUGCUCAGAGAAUAUAAUUUCUAUGAUUUCAAUUUUUUAAAAUUUGUUGAGGUUAUUUAUAUGGCUCAGAAUAUAGCUAUCUCAGUGAAUGUUAUGUGUGCACUUGAAGAGGAUGCAUAUUUGGCUGUUUAGUGAAGUGUUUUAUAAAAUUCAAUUAAGACACGUUUGUUGCUUAUGUUGUUCAGAUUUUCUUCAUCUUUACUAAUGUUUUGUCAAUCUGUCUAAUAAGCUACAAGAAGUUUUGAAAUAUUCAAUUAUAAUUGUGGAUUUUUCUAUUUCUCCUUUUAGUUCUAACGGUUUUGUUUCAUAUUUUAAAGCUCUGUUGUUAGAUACAUGCACAUUUAGGGUUGGCAUGUCCUCCUGAUUGAACUGACCCAUUUAAUGUUACAUAAAGUCUCUAUGACUGCUAAUUUUCCUAGUCUUCAAAUCUAUUUUAUCAGAUAUUCAUACAGAUAUAACAUCUUUCUUUUGAUUAGUCUUUGUGUGUUACAUAUUUUAAAUUUCUUUUUACUUUUAACCUAUAAAUGUCUUUAUAUUUAAAGUGAGUUUCUCAUAGAAAGCAUAUCGUUUUGUCUUGCUUUGUUAUCCAGGCUGACACUCCUUGUAUUUUAAUUGGUAGGUUUACACCAUUCACAUUUAAUGUAAUCAUUGAUGUGAUUGGAUUAAAAUCUACUGUUUUCUGUUUAUUUCAGCUGUUUUUCAUCUCUUUCCUUUUUUCUUUUUUUAAUAGUAAUUUUAUAUUUUUAUAAUUCCAAUUUAUCUUCUCUAUUGGCUUAUUUAUAUUUCUUUUUACAAAUUAUUUUAGUAGUUUUCAAUUGGAUUACAAUAAAGAUCUUUGAUUAAUUACAAUCUACCUUCAAAGAAUAUUUCCCA
ensembl:lncRNA